rnacentral:rRNA from 1 species
AUGGGUGAUGCGGAGUCCGUGGAUGAUUUCGCGGCGAGGUUCACGACGCUCGUGGGGCGCAUCCGUGAGCUUGGUGAUGCGAUGGAGGAGAAAUAUGUCGUGAAGAAGCUUCUCCGAGCCGUCUCCAACAAGUUCAUCCACGUUGCGUCAUCGAUUGCAUUGUUCGGCGACACCAACAAGAUGGCCAUGGAGGAGGCCAUUGGUUCACUCAAG